rnacentral:rRNA from 1 species
UACAGAGGGUGCGAGCGUUAAUCGGAAUUACUGGGCGUAAAGCGUGCGUAGACGGUUUUGUAAGUCGGAUGUGAAAUCCCCGGGCUCAACCUGGGAACUGCAUCUGUGACUGCAUCGCUGGAGUACGGUAGAGGGGGAUGGAAUUCCGCGUGUAGCAGUGAAAUGCGUAGAUAUGCGGAGGAACACCGAUGGCGAAGGCAAUCCCCUGGACCUGUACUGACGCUCAUGCACGAAAGCGUGGGGAGCAAACAGG